UCACUCACAUCAACAACCACAACCUUAACAGACUUCUCAUCCUCAACAACUUCAAGAAGAACAAGCGCUGACCCAGAUCGUGACUUCUCAUCCUCUCACAUAGAACCUCAUAUCCUCGCACCAAGACACGGUUUUGAAACAACAAACGCUGACCCAGAUUGUGACUCUCCUUCACCAUCGCUGAAACAACGUUUGGUAUCGAAGCUACCACCAACAACUGAAAGCAAAUCACCAUCAAAGAUCUCUUCUUCAUCUAAAUACAAAUCAUCAAUACUCUGAAACGCCUCAUUCAAAACAACCACCGCAACACCGACGAGCACCGACACGACUCACGAGGACGUUAAGCCAACGCCGGUGAAGACAAGAGCUACGACGGUGAGAGCGGUGAGUAGGAGGAGGAGGAAGAGGUCGUCGAUGGUGAAACGGAAGAGGACGAAGGGCGGUCAUGGAAGAAGAAGAGCAAGAACUAGGCAGCGAUGACGGCGAGGAAGUUGAGGUUGAAGGGAGAGAGUUUUGGAAGUUGGUAGGUAUGUGAUGUGGAAAAUGGGAAGUGCUGUUUUUUUUAAUGAUUUGCUGGGUUUUUUUUAUGAAGAUCAUGAACAAGAAGAUGAAGAUAUGAUAAGGGCAGUUUGGUAAUCAAUUGUUUUUAUGAAGAUUAUGAACAAGAAGAAGAAGGUGAAGAUCUAACGGUUCAUUUUAUGAUAAAUAGAUCAAAUGGUUAAAAUUAACAAAAUUAAUAAGGUCUACGAUGGACUAUUUUUAAGGUUGGUCCACCAUAUACAUUUGAAGUUAAAGUUAAUAGUUGGGAUUCAUUUGGCAAAUUGAGAAAAAAGUGAGGGACUAAAAUGUACGUUUUAUUAAUUGUAGGACCAAAAUGAAAACUUGAAAUUAUUUAAGGGACCAUUGAAUCAAAUAAGCCUAUAUUUUCUUGUAAUUUGCAAUUUAAUUUUUUAAGGGUGUUUUUUUAGCUGCCUAACGUGAACAUUUGGUUGAGGCUUUUAAUAUUUUUA
rnacentral:lncRNA from 1 species